GAUCACCGACUAAAGACCGAGUUCCCUCCUGCCAAUUUGGUGGCGUUUGCAAAUCUCCAGCCUCCUUGCUGCUUUUAGGAGGAAAAAGAAAGUCAGGUGGCAUUGUUACAGGUGCUGCACAUCUCUCCCUUUAAAAUGAGAUCGAGCUGCAGAGACUGGGGCCAGAACAAGAAAUCUACAGGGCUGAGAACGGGGGUUUCAUGCCCACAAUUAAUGUUCUAUGAGCAGCAGAACCAGACCCGAUCGUCUGGGGGGAGUUUUGCCAGGUUCUGGCGGUGUGUAAAAGUGCUUCGCUUUUCCUGGAUAUUUUUUGUUGUGUGUCUGGGAGGUGGCGAAAACUGACCCUGAACUAACGCAGAGAAGCUCCCGCUGGGUAGCGUGAAAGAGAGGAAAUAACCGCUGCCGGACGGGUCGCCUGCAAUCGUGAUCCAACCACUCCCCGGCACGCUGCGCUCCGAGCAGAGACUGUGCGCCGCAAAGGAAGCGCCUCCUCUGGAGGAGUUGUAACUACCUCCUCCUCUCCUGUCUCUUACGCACUCACACCUUCUCCCCCAGUGCACUUGUACAAGGGAAUCAUCUGACCCCGGGUAGUGGGGAGGAACCGGGCAGAUCCCUUUCUCGGGGAGAGUUCGCCCAGAGGAGAAGAAAAGGGGAAAGUUUAUGUAAAAAACAAACAAACAAACAAACGUGCCCCUUUCCACCAACCUACACCCCCCACCAAGUCUGGACCAAGCAGUGUGAAGUGCGUGCUCGGGGACCGUGCCGGGAGGUCGGAGGAGAGCCCGGCAGGCUGCCGGGGUGGGCACCGCGGGGAUCGCACGCACGGCUGCCCCCCGCCCCGGCUCUCUCCCCUCAGUGAGCGGCAUGCCCUGUGCGUGCGCGUGUGCCUACGGGAGGGAGGGAGCCAGGCGCAGGCGCACCGCCCGCCCGUCUGCAGCCCGGGCGCUCUCAGUGCAGAUCCCGGGGAGUUGAUGGCAGCAGCGCGGUGCGGCCACCCGGCGGAGAGCGGAGCGCGGCGGAGCCCUGAGCCCAAAAUGUGCGGGGAGGAAGACAGCGGCUGUAGCAGCUCCGGGAGCCCGAGGGACGGGGCCGGGCAGCCGCUGGUUACCCAGCUCUCCUGACCUGCAUACCCCCUCCCCACACAUCGCUCCCCCAAAGAAUGUCAGCCAAGUCCAAGGGGACCCCCGCCUCCUCCUCGCCACCCGAGGGGCCGCCCGCAGCCUCCAAAGCCAAGGUGAAGGAACAGAUCAAGAUCAUCGUGGAGGAUUUGGAAUUAGUCCUGGGGGACCUGAAAGACGUGGCCAAGGAACUCAAGGAGGUGGUUGACCAGAUUGACACAUUGACAUCUGACCUGCAGCUGGAGGAUGAGAUGACAGACAGUUCCAAAACUGAUACGCUGAACAGCAGCUCAAGCAGCACAACAGCGUCCAGCUUGGAGAAAGCCAAAGUGUGUGCCAAGGCACCUCUCAUCAAGCCCCCAGCACACCCAUCUGCCAUUCUCACCAUACUGAGGAAACCCAAUCCACCACCACCUCCACCACGGUUGACUCCUGUGAAGUGUGAAGACCCUCACAGGCCAGUUCCUUCUGCCAACCCUGUAAAGACUAAUGGGACCCUACUUCGAAAUGGAGGUUUACCAGGAGGACCAAACAAGAUUCCUAAUGGGGAUGUAUUUUGCAUACCUAAUAGUAACUUGGACAAAGUUCCAAUGCAUCCUCUGAUUCAUAGACCUGAUAAAGACAGGUGUCCUCAGACAGGAACACGGGAACGAGUGAGAUUUAGUGAGAAAGUGCAGUACCAUGGCUAUUGCCCUGACUGUGACGUUCGGUAUAACAUUAAAAACAGGGAGGUCCACUUACAUAGUGAGCCGGCCCACACACUGGGAAAGCUUCCUCACCAAUGUCCUCCUUUACCACCACCGCCUCCCCCUCUCCCUCCAUUGCCUCUAGAAAAUGGAGGGUUGGGAAUAAGCCCCAGUAAUAGCUUUCCCCCUCUCAGACCUGCAACUGUGCCUCCACAAACUGCACCAAAACCCCAGAAGACCAUCUUAAGAAAGUCAACCACUACAACGGUGUGAUGUAUGCCACUUGAAAAACUGUUUGUUUUUUUCCUAUAUAUAAACAUAAACAAAUAGGUAAUGAGCACUUUCUACUCAAGCAAUAAAAAGCCCAAAUAUAUUACAUCCUGUGUUCAGUGAAGUGGCAUAAAAAUCAUAUGCUCCUUCAGGCUGGAAGGAAUAUCUACAUUUGGAGGCAUAUCAGUUAUUUCUUUGAUGUUGGAUUCAUCAUUGUGACUUCUUGCAGGCCAGCUCUGAUGAAAGUAACCUGACCCUCCUUGGAGCAUGGAAGCCCUUAGAGUCAGAGCACAACUAAUUACUGGUGUAAUCUGCAUGAAACCAUCUGCCUCAGAUCUGACAGCUAUGAGCUGAGCCCUGACAAAAGCCACAGCCUUAAAUUCUACUCACUCGGAAAGAAGAAUAAAGUGGACUAAAUACCUUGCCCCAUUACAGAAACAACUGUCUCCAAGCCUGACACUUCAGGAGUUCAGUACUGAGCAAUUAGAGUAACAAACAAUAAAUCAGUUUUUCAUGCGGUCCAGCCAGCAUCCAAAAAAUAUUUAAAUAUGUAGCCAAAAGGAAACAUGAAGCACUUAAGUGAUUGCAGGAAAAGCAAUGCAUGUACUACAACAGAGGAAUAUUGCUAUUUGUGGGGAAAGAAGACCUCUGCCAUCCCUUGUACAUAUUCAAAGCCAUAGAAGAACGGAGCAUCAGUGAUGCUAAAAUGCUUGAAAGAAUGUUGUCUCCUGUUCUCCACCCAAAUCUGAAGAAAAAAAAUUAGCUGUUACAGAGUGCAUCUCAAUGCACUUCUAAUAUUUGCACUGUCACUUCCAUUCAGGGUAAUGAUGUGUGCCAUCAUUUGCACAGAUGGCCCCAUGAGAUUUUAGACCGCAACAAGCUGUAUCUUGCAGGGGCUCCAAAAGGAAUUAAAAAGUAAAAAGCUGAAGAAAAGGAAUGCUCUCUUACAGUGAGGAUUUCUCCCCACAGGAAAAUAGUCCUUCUUAAGAUUAAAAAAAUAUGUAUGUGAAAAAAGCAUCAACGUGAUAAAGUGGAUUUAAAAAGGGAUCUAAUAUUUUUUUUAAUGAAAUUCAUUUUAUAUCAUAGUAACAGCCAAGAGAUUGAACCUAUUGAACUAUACACCCAGAAUGUUCCUGCUGGACAUUGACAGUAUGCUCCUAGAAAAUAUUAAAGAAAAAAGUCAUUUGUAAUAUGUAUUUGACAUAUAGUAAUUUUUAUAACCAUUUAUCUAUGCUUCAUGGAGAAAUGUAAAAGACAAACAAACAGCAUUUUCAGUUUAUUUUUCUAAAUAAAUGUGUUGUUUGUAUUAUUUGCAGUCACUUAUUUUAGAUGGUUUUCAUUACCCCAAAAAAGGAUUUAAAGAUGGAACCAAAACAUAGCAACUGUUUUGCCAUGUUAAAUCGUAACGAUUUGCAGACUGAAAGCUUUAAUAUAAAUAUUAAAAUUUGUAAAAUUAUAAAGUAUAUUUAUACUGGCAAAUAUGUAUGGAAAACAAGAAGAGGAGGUAUUUUAACUUUUACUUUCAGUACAUAGGUUAUUUUGAUAGUCACAUGAACGAAUGUGAAGUUAUAUAAUUGGUACAGGUUUUUUUCUGUAAUAAUAUGUUGUAGCAAAUGAAGAUUCAGCUGCCUAGGAAUUCAGAGAAUAAUUCUAAUGUUCAUGAUUUUCAAAAAUGACACACAGUCCCCUUGUCAAGUGAUUCACUUCAUCCAGGAACCACUUUUUUCAUACUGUAACAUACUCACAAGGCUAUUAAAGAUGCCGCUAUUUGGUCAAGAGGAAUUUAGGAACCUAAAGGGUAAGAGAGAUUGGUCAUUACAAUCAUCCACAGAUUUUCAUUUAGGAACAGUCAUUGUAUCUGUCUAAUGGAUUAUUUUGUUAUCGUCAUUGAACACAUUGAUUCUAGAGCUGUUUUGAAUAAAAAUAUAUAUUUUCC